rnacentral:rRNA from 1 species
AUCAUUAACUGAAUCCAUAGGUUAAUGAGGCGAACCGGGGGAACUGAAACAUCUAAGUACCCCGAGGAAAAGAAAUCAACCGAGAUUCCCCCAGUAGCGGCGAGCGAACGGGGAGGAGCCCAGAGCCUGAAUCAGCAUGUGUGUUAGUGGAAGCGUCUGGAAAGGCGCGCGAUACAGGGUGACAGCCCCGUACACAAAAGCGCAUGUGCUGUGAGCUCGAUGAGUAGGGCGGGACACGUGGUAUCCUGUCUGAAUAUGGGGGGACCAUCCUCCAAGGCUAAAUACUCCUGACUGACCGAUAGUGAACCAGUACCGUGAGGGAAAGGCGAAAAGAACCCCGGCGAGGGGAGUGAAAAAGAACCUGAAACCGUGUACGUACAAGCAGUGGGA